UCCUUAUCAAGAGUGAUGGAGGGACCCGGCCCAAUGAAAUCCGGCAACCGGCGUAAGCACGGUGCUAAAUCCGGCAGGUAAAGUUUUACCUGGAAGAUGAGUU
rnacentral:ncRNA from 2 species